rnacentral:rRNA from 1 species
UCUUGGUCAUUUAGAGGAAGUAAAAGUCGUAACAAGGUUUCCGUAGGUGAACCUGCGGAAGGAUCAUWAUUGAAUAAACUUGAACAGGCUGUUUGCUGGCCUCUCUCUCCGGAGGGGGUAUGUGCACGCUUGUCAUCUUUAUCUCUCCACCUGUGCACAUGCUGUAGAUCUGGGAGCCCUUUUGUAUUCUCGAAUAGAUUGAGGAUUGCUGUACUCAAGUGUCAGCUUUGCCUUGCAUUUCCAGAUCUAUGUUUUUUUUUCACAAUCUCUGAAUGUGUCUAGAAUGUUGAAUCGAAUGAUAAAUCAUAUACAACUUUCAGCAACGGAUCUCUUGGCUCUCGCAUCGAUGAAGAACGCAGCGAAAUGCGAUAAGUAAUGUGAAUUGCAGAAUUCAGUGAAUCAUCGAAUCUUUGAACGCAUCUUGCGCUCCUUGGUAUUCCGAGGAGCAUGCCUGUUUGAGUGUCAUUUGAGUUCUCAAACCAUGCUGAUUUUAUUGGCGUGGCUUUGGAUGUGGGGGUUUCUGUUUGCGGGCUUUUGAAGUCGGCUCCCCUGAAAUGCAUUAGUGGUAUCUGAGCAGAGACUACUUACAGGUGUGAUAAAUUAUCUAUCUAUGCCUCGGUAUGCUGCAUGAAACAGAUUGCACUGCUUAUAACGAGUGGAAAUUUGACAAGUUUGACCUCAAAUCAGGUAGGACUACCCGCUGAACUUAAGCAUAUCAAUAAGCGGAGGAAAAGAAACUAACAAGGAUUCCCCUAGUAACUGCGAGUGAAGCGGGAAAAGCUCAAAUUUGAAAUCUGGCGGUUUUUGACCGUCCGAGUUGUAAUCUAGAGAAGUGUUACCUGUGCUGGACCGUGUAAAAGUCUCCUGGAAUGGAGCGUCAUAGAGGNNGAGAAUC